UUAAAAAUGUUAAUUGUUUUUUCGAAGGUGAUUUUUUUAGCCGAAAUCGAAUUUUAUAUGUCUUAAAAAUAGGACAGAAUCCUUAAAAUUAAAAACAGUGUCGGAUUAAGGAUGUAGGUAAGUGAAGAAAAAUGUUGCCGGUGGGAAUCGAACCACACGUUUCCCGCUUGCCGACCGGGUGUCCUGACCACUAGACUACAAAGCGGCUUAUCGUUCUUCGCUUACCAACCUGUUAUUGUGCCGUCCAGCGGGAAAUUUAAGUAGUGGAGCUCUAUGUUUUGCUGGCGACAUUGGCGUUUUGAAAAAAUGAUGUUGUUUUUGGAAUUUUGCUGACGCUACCAUGAAAAACAAA